GCUGUUUAGGGUUGGGAGGCGUCUGGUUCGAUUUCAACUGGCUGGUUGGAGAGCUACAGGGGUAAAGAUGGGAGAGCUGGGUUGGUUCUUUGAUGUCUACAUCUGGAGGCUUCGAUUGUUCUACACAGCCAUCUACUCAGACCAUCAGUUUGCGUUUUCAUUGCUCUGAUCUUCCAAGGUGCUCACUUUCCGACUCCCUUGGGUUCUAUCAGGAAGGGGAUUGAAUCUCACAGAUUAGUUCAGCAAAGGAAGAUUGAUGUAACAAUUAGCAGGGAGUUGCUAUAGGAUUCUAUGCAAUGAAGUGUUUCCACUACUUCAACAACAAAAUAAAUGAGGUGGGAACGAAGAUUGCUACAGAAUUGAAAGAACAGAGGACAUCUGAUUAUUCAGGAGCUGAAUAUGGUCAUUAAGUCUUCAUGCUCAACAAAAUCACCCCACUCUUUAAACCGGAAUUUGUAUGAAGAGAAGGUUUCAAAUAUGUUAAGAGAUAUGAGUACAUGCUGUUUUGUGUAGUAUCCUGGUAUUUGUAGGUAUUUUUAAUGGCGAUUUUAUAUGGUUAAUUUUACUUAAAAAUACAGGAAUGGAUCGACUGUGUAGCAAAUGGAGAUGCUAGCAUGUUGAAAAUAAAAAUAGAUGCGACAGAAAAAUAGAUGCA